CAGUAGCCGCGGGAAUACGUAGGGUGCGAGCGUUAAUCGGAAUUACUGGGCGUAAAGCGUGCGCAGGCGGUUGUGUAAGACAGGUGUGAAAUCCCCGGGCUUAACCUGGGAACUGCGCUUGUGACUGCACAGCUAGAGUAUGGCAGAGGGGGGUGGAAUUCCACGUGUAGCAGUGAAAUGCGUAGAGAUGUGGAGGAACACCGAUGGCGAAGGCAGCCCCCUGGGCCAAUACUGACGCUCAUGCACGAAAGCGUGGGGAGCAAACAGGAUUAGAUACCCCCGUAGUCCCUGUCUCUUAUAC
rnacentral:rRNA from 1 species